rnacentral:rRNA from 1 species
AGAGUUUGAUCAUGGCUCAGAUUGAACGCUGGCGGCAUGCCUUACACAUGCAAGUCGAACGGCAGCAUAGGAGCUUGCUCCUGAUGGCGAGUGGCGAACGGGUGAGUAAUAUAUCGGAACGUGCCCUAGAGUGGGGGAUAACUAGUCGAAAGACUAGCUAAUACCGCAUACGAUCUACGGAUGAAAGUGGGGGAUCGCAAGACCUCAUGCUCCUGGAGCGGCCGAUAUCUGAUUAGCUAGUUGGUGGGGUAAAAGCCUACCAAGGCAACGAUCAGUAGCUGGUCUGAGAGGACGACCAGCCACACUGGGAGUGAGACACGGCCCAGACUCCUACGGGAGGCAGCAGUGGGGAAUUUUGGACAAUGGGGGCAACCCUGAUCCAGCAAUGCCGCGUGAGUGAAGAAGGCCUUCGGGUUGUAAAGCUCUUUUGUCAGGGAAGAAACGGUGGUAGCGAAUAACUAUUACUAAUGACGGUACCUGAAGAAUAAGCACCGGCUAACUACGUGCCAGCAGCCGCGGUAAU